ACGUAGGGGGCGAGCGUUGUCCGGAUUCACUGGGCGUAAAGAGCGCGUAGGCGGCCUGUUAAGUCAGGAGUGAAAUCUCCAGGGCUCAACCCGGAAACUGCUUCUGAUACUGGCAGGCUCGAGGGUCAGAGAGGUGAUUGGAAUUCCCGGUGUAGCGGUGACAUGCAUUGAUAUCGGGAGGAACACCCGUGGCGAAGGCGGAUCACUGGCUGAUACCUGACGCUGAGGCGCGAAAGCGUGGGGAGCGAACAG
rnacentral:rRNA from 1 species